UCACCGCUUGCGCGGGCAGUCUCAUUAGAGUUCCCGACAUGACUCGCUGGCAACUAAUGAUAGGGGUUGCGCUCGUUACGGGACUUAACCCAACACCUCACGGCACGAGCUGACGACAGCCAUGCAGCACCUAGUUUCGUGCCCUUGCGGGAAGGUCUCUUUCAAGACCGGUCACUAACUUUCAAGCCCGGGUAAGGUUCCUCGCGUAUCAUCGAAUUAAACCACAUGCUCCGCUGCUUGUGCGGGCCCCGUCAAUUCCUUUGAGUUUUAGCCUUGCGGCCGUACUCCCCAGGCGGGGUGCUUAAUGCGUUAGCUUCGGCACGGACGGAGUCGACACCGCCCACACCUAGCACCCAUCGUUUACGGCGUGGACUAC
rnacentral:misc_RNA from 1 species